UGUAUGGUGGGCUUUCUGUAUAGUUAUUGUAGUCAUGUUUAUAUUGUAUGCUGCGAAGACAUUAUCACUAAGCUGGGAAAAUGAAUGUAAAAAGGCUCAGGAAAUAACAGCAGUUAACGUAAAAGACCCUACUUAUUAUGGAGAUGAUCACAGCACAUCAUGUAGUUAUACAGAAGCCAAACCAAGUGAUAGCGAUACUCGUCAGUUGUUUGAUCAAAAAAUAGGAGAGCAAUCAUUUCCAUUGUAUAAAAUGAUUAUAUGUCAACGGUUCUUAAUAUUUGUUUCAUUACUACUGAUUCUAGUAGCCAGCAUUGUUCUAAAUAUGUUCUUUGAUCAUACAUAUAGAAAUAACGUAAAAUGUAACAGAAAUGAUACAAUGUAUAAUCUGACUCACUUUGCUAAUGUUUCAAGUAAGGGUAUUGUUUGCCAACCUUAACCAUCAUCAUGACAUAUGCAUAUUUAGACUUGAGUAAAAUUGUGAAUAAUGCAUUUGAACAUUGUGUGAGGCUAUAUUGUAUGUGAUUGUAUCUUUUUUUGUUUGGUAAUAUAAGUUUGCAUUGUCUCCUUGUGAUAUUAUUUGCAUUGCCUGGCAUAAAAUAUCAU